rnacentral:rRNA from 1 species
CAAUGAUCUAACGACUGAUCAAGUUAUCUACGAGAAGGAUAUUAAAAAAAAUAUAUAUAUAUAAAUAUAUAUAUAAAAGAAAUAAUAAAAGAUAAACUAUAAACUUCUAAAUAAUAGUAAUAAUGAUACUAAUUAUGAAAAAGUCCUAACUAAAAUAUGUGCCAGCAGCUGCGGUUAGACAUAGAGGGCAAGCAUUGAUCAGAAUGGCUUAAAGGAUCUGUAGAACGAAUCUUUAAAAAUAAAGAUAUAGAAUAAUGUCUAAAAAAGGAUAGGGUAAUAAGAAUUAAAGUUAGAGGGAUAAAAUACUAAGAAAACAUUAAGACUAUAAAGAGAUUACUUAAAAUUAUUGACGUUGUGAGAUGAAGGCUACGGUAGCGACAUGGAUUCGAUACCCAUUUAGUCGUAGCAGUAAACUAUGAGUACAAUAAAAGAAAAAUGAAAAUGAAUAGUACUCCGCCUGACUAGUACGCUCGCAAGGGUGAAAUACAAGACAUUAGACGGUUGUAGUCCCAAGCAGUGGAACAUGUCAUUUAAUUGGAUGAUCCUCCAAGAACCUUACCAUCUCUUGAAUUUUUAACAGGCGUUACAUCGUUGUCGUCAGUUCAUGCCGUGAGGUUUAAUAUUAAGUUAUUGAAUGAACGUAACCCUUUUCUUAUUGAUAAGUAUAAUUGUAAAAUUAUAGGAAGUAGAGGUAGAAGACUAAUCAUGAUGACCCUAAUGAGAUGGGCUAUCGACGUGUUACAAUAUUAAUAACAAUUAUAUUAACUAUAAGUUAACAUAUUUUAUACUUUAAAGUAUAUUUAUUAAAUAUUAAGAUUAAGACAUAGUUUCAUUUAUGAAUUGUAAUCUGAAAUUCGGUUACAUAAAGGAGGAAUUGCUAGUAAUCGUAAACUAGAGUGUUACGGUGAAAUUUUUUGCUAUUUCGUACUAACCACUCAUCA